CUUAAGGAAACAUGACGGCCAUUUUCCGUCAUGCUGGUCUUUUAUUUACGAAGCUGUGUACUUAAGGCUAAAUGAUAUGCACAACAUGUGUUGAAUCCAUGCCUGUGCAUCCAUCCAUGACUCUGCAUCCAUUGGACAACGUCAUGCCUGCUCGGAGUGCAAGGAAAGAGCUAACUGUAGGAAAAUACAUAGAAAAUAUACAGUCAUUGCAUCUAUAUGUUAC